CGCAUCUGUGCAUGCAGCAUAUCAAUAAGCGGAGGAAAAGAAACUAACGAGGAUUCCCUCAGUAACGGCGAGUGAAGCGGGAAGAGCUCAAAUUUGAAAUCUUGAAAGGGUUCACCUUUACGAAUUGUAGUUUAAAGAAGUGUUUUCUGUUACGAUUUGGUAAUAAGUUCUUUGGAAUAGGACAUCACAGAGGGUGAGAAUCCCGUAUUUGACCUUGGACUUGUCAGCUUUGUGAUACACUUUCAAAGAGUCGGAUUGUUUGGGAAUGCAGUCCAAAAUGGGAUGGUAAAUUUCUUCUAAGGCUAAAUAUUGGCGAGAGACCGAUAGCGAACAAGUACCGUGAGGGAAAGAUGAAAAGAACCUUGAAAAGAGAGUUAAAUAGUACGUGAAAUUGUCAAAAGGGAAGCGUUUAACACCAGUGUUGUUUUCUGAAAAUCAACCUCUGUUAGCUUUAUGCAUGUUUGUUUAGACCUAAUCAGCUAUCUUGCAUGUUCUAUUGUUUGCAGUGGUGCACUUUUCAGUUUACAGGUCAACAUCAGUUUUUUUUACCGUAAAAAAGUUAAAGAAAGGUAGCUCAUGGCUCCGGUCGUGAGUGUUAUAGUCUUUUUCCUAUGCGGUAGGAGAGACUGAGGUCUGCAGUGUAGGCUAUUUGGCUAGAUACUCAGGUGCUAUGUGAUACCAUCUCAUAAACAACUUGUUGAUUAUGUUUUGUCUAUUGCAUACUCGCUUGUACUAUCAUACCUACGCUUAGGAUGUUGACGAUCAGCUGAGCGCG
rnacentral:rRNA from 1 species